AUUGAACGCUGGCGGCAUGCCUUACACAUGCAAGUCGAACGGUAACAGGCCGCAAGGUGCUGACGAGUGGCGAACGGGUGAGUAAUGCAUCGGAACGUGCCCAGUCGUGGGGGAUAACUGCUCGAAAGAGCAGCUAAUACCGCAUACGACCUGAGGGUGAAAGCGGGGGACCGUAAGGCCUCGCGCGAUUGGAGCGGCCGAUGUCAGAUUAGCUAGUUGGUGGGGUAAAGGCCUACCAAGGCAACGAUCUGUAGUUGGUCUGAGAGGACGACCAGCCACACUGGGACUGAGACACGGCCCAGACUCCUACGGGAGGCAGCAGUGGGGAAUUUUGGACAAUGGGCGCAAGCCUGACCCAGCAAUGCCGCGUGCAGGAAGAAGGCCUUCGGGUUGUAAACUGCUUUUGUCAGGGAAGAAAUCCCUUGGGAUAAUACCUCGGGGGGAUGACGGUACCUGAAGAAUAAGCACCGGCUAACUACGUGCCAGCCGCCGCAGUAACAC
rnacentral:rRNA from 1 species